rnacentral:rRNA from 1 species
CGAACGCUGGCGGCGUGCUUAACACAUGCAAGUCGAACGGAAAGGCCCUGCUUUUGUGGGGUGCUCGAGUGGCGAACGGGUGAGUAACACGUGAGUAACCUGCCCUUGACUUUGGGAUAACUUCAGGAAACUGGGGCUAAUACCGGAUAGGAGCUCCUGCUGCAUGGUGGGGGUUGGAAAGUUUCGGCGGUUGGGGAUGGACUCGCGGCUUAUCAGCUUGUUGGUGGGGUAGUGGCUUACCAAGGCUUUGACGGGUAGCCGGCCUGAGAGGGUGACCGGCCACAUUGGGACUGAGAUACGGCCCAGACUCCUACGGGAGGCAGCAGUGGGGAAUAUUGCACAAUGGGCGGAAGCCUGAUGCAGCAACGCCGCGUGCGGGAUGACGGCCUUCGGGUUGUAAACCGCUUUCGCCUGCGACGAAGCGUGAGUGACGGUAAUGGGUAAAGAAGCACCGGCUAACUACGUG